rnacentral:rRNA from 1 species
UACGUAGGUGGCAAGCGUUAUCCGGAAUUAUUGGGCGUAAAGAGCGCGCAGGUGGUUGAUUAAGUCUGAUGUGAAAGCACACGGCUUAACCGUGUGAGGUAAUUAGAAACUACAGGUCUAGAGAGUGGUAGAGGUAAAUGGAAUUCCAAGUGGAGCGGUGAAAUGCGUAGAGAUUUGGAGGAACACCAGUGGCGAAGGCGGUUUACUGGGCCACAUCUGACGCUGAUGUACGAAAGCGUGGGGAGCAAACAGGAUUAGAUACCCCGGUAGU